GACGAACGCUGGUGGCGUGCCUAAUACAUGCAAGUAGAACGCUGAAGGAGGAGCUUGCUUCUCCGGAUGAGUUGCGAACGGGUGAGUAACGCGUAGGUAACCUGCCUGGUAGCGGGGGAUAACUAUUGGAAACGAUAGCUAAUACCGCAUAAUAGUAGAUGUUGCAUGACAUUUACUUAAAAGGUGCAAUUGCAUCACUACCAGAUGGACCUGCGUUGUAUUAGCUAGUUGGUGGGGUAACGGCUCACCAAGGCGACGAUACAUAGCCGACCUGAGAGGGUGAUCGGCCACACUGGGACUGAGACACGGCCCAGACUCCUACGGGAGGCAGCAGUAGGGAAUCUUCGGCAAUGGACGGAAGUCUGACCGAGCAACGCCGCGUGAGUGAAGAAGGUUUUCGGAUCGUAAAGCUCUGUUGUAAGAGAAGAACGAGUGUGAGAGUGGAAAGUUCACACUGUGACGGUAUCUUACCAGAAAGGGACGGCUAACUACGUGCCAGCAGCCGCGGUAAUACGUAGGUCCCGAGCGUUGUCCGGAUUUAUUGGGCGUAAAGCGAGCGCAGGCGGUUAGAUAAGUCUGAAGUUAAAGGCUGUGGCUUAACCAUAGUACGCUUUGGAAACUGUUUAACUUGAGUGCAAGAGGGGAGAGUGGAAUUCCAUGUGUAGCGGUGAAAUGCGUAGAUAUAUGGAGGAACACCGGUGGCGAAAGCGGCUCUCUGGCUUGUAACUGACGCUGAGGCUCGAAAGCGUGGGGAGCAAACAGG
rnacentral:rRNA from 1 species